GAACCUAUAACCUCAUGUGCAUGGGUACAUGCUCUUAAUCACUUAAACUACAAGUCAUUUGUCAUCCUACUCUUAUAUGUAAAUGGUGGCAAUGUACGAUAUGAUUCGAUAAAAAACAUGAUAGCCGCAUGAUUAAAAUUUUGGGUCAAACUCGAGUAAACCAGUUAAGACCUAGUUAAUAAACAUAUGGGUUUUCGGUCAACCCACACCAACUCAUUUAUCAACUUACUCAACCAUUUAAUAAACGGGACAUGUUAGCCCUUUUACAACCUGUCAUCUCAUAUAUUUAACCUAUUU
rnacentral:lncRNA from 1 species